ACGGAGCUUGCUCUGUGGGAUCAGUGGCGAACGGGUGAGUAACACGUGAGCAACCUGCCCCUGACUCUGGGAUAAGCGCUGGAAACGGCGUCUAAUACUGGAUAUGUGACGUGACCGCAUGGUCUGCGUUUGGAAAGAUUUUUCGGUUGGGGAUGGGCUCGCGGCCUAUCAGCUUGUUGGUGAGGUAAUGGCUCACCAAGGCGUCGACGGGUAGCCGGCCUGAGAGGGUGACCGGCCACACUGGGACUGAGACACGGCCCAGACUCCUACGGGAGGCAGCAGUGGGGAAUAUUGCACAAUGGGCGGAAGCCUGAUGCAGCAACGCCGCGUGAGGGAUGACGGCCUUCGGGUUGUAAACCUCUUUUAGCAGGGAAGAAGCGAAAGUGACGGUACCUGCAGAAAAAGCGCCGGCUAACUACGUGCCAGCAGCCGCGGUAAUACGUAGGGCGCAAGCGUUAUCCGGAAUUAUUGGGCGUAAAGAGCUCGUAGGCGGUUUGUCGCGUCUGCUGUGAAAUCCCGAGGCUCAACCUCGGGCCUGCAGUGGGUACGGGCAGACUAGAGUGCGGUAGGGGAGAUUGGAAUUCCUGGUGUAGCGGUGGAAUGCGCAGAUAUCAGGAGGAACACCGAUGGCGAAGGCAGAUCUCUGGGCCGUAACUGACGCUGAGGAGCGAAAGGGUGGGGAGCAAACAGGCUUAGAUACCCUGGUAGUCCACCCCGUAAACGUUGGGAACUAGUUGUGGGGUCCAUUCCACGGAUUCCGUGACGCAGCUAACGCAUUAAGUUCCCCGCCUGGGGAGUACGGCCGCAAGGCUAAAACUCAAAGGAAUUGACGGGGACCCGCACAAGCGGCGGAGCAUGCGGAUUAAUUCGAUGCAACGCGAAGAACCUUACCAAGGCUUGACAUAUACGAGAACGGGCCAGAAAUGGUCAACUCUUUGGACACUCGUAAACAGGUGGUGCAUGGUUGUCGUCAGCUCGUGUCGUGAGAUGUUGGGUUAAGUCCCGCAACGAGCGCAACCCUCGUUCUAUGUUGCCAGCACGUAAUGGUGGGAACUCAUGGGAUACUGCCGGGGUCAACUCGGAGGAAGGUGGGGAUGACGUCAAAUCAUCAUGCCCCUUAUGUCUUGGGCUUCACGCAUGCUACAAUGGCCGGUACAAAGGGCUGCAAUACCGUGAGGUGGAGCGAAUCCCAAAAAGCCGGUCCCAGUUCGGAUUGAGGUCUGCAACUCGACCUCAUGAAGUCGGAGUCGCUAGUAAUCGCAGAUCAGCAACGCUGCGGUGAAUACGUUCCCGGGUCUUGUACACACCGCCCGUCAAGUCAUGAAAGUCGGUAACACCUGAAGCCGGUGGCCUAAC
rnacentral:rRNA from 1 species